rnacentral:Y_RNA from 1 species
GGCUAGUCUGAGUGCAGUGGGGUCUACGACUAGUUGAUCGCCAUCUGGUGCAGAUUGCUUUGUCCCUUUCCCCACCUCCACGGCUUCACUUGGCUGGUUAGC